rnacentral:rRNA from 1 species
GACGAACGCUGGCGGCGUGCUUAACACAUGCAAGUCGAACGGAAAGGCCUGCUUUCCCUUGUGGAUUGCGGGUACUCGAGUGGCGAACGGGUGAGUAACACGUGAGUGAUCUGCCCCCAACUUGGGUAUAAGCCUGGGAAACUGGGUCUAAUUCCCGAUAGGACUGCAGGGUGGUGCCUGUGGUGGAAAACGACUUUCUAGUGGUUGGGGAUGAGCUCGCGGCCUAUCAGCUUGUUGGUGGGGUAAUGGACUACCAAGGCGGCGACGGGUAGCCGGCCUGAGAAGGUGGACGGCGACAUUGAGACAGAGAGCCGACCAAGACUCCCACGAGAAGAAGCGAUGGGGGAAAUAGGACACUGGGCGGAAGCCUGAUACAGCGGCGCGGCGAAGAGGGUGACAGGCUUCGGGUUGUAAACUGCUUACAACCGCGAGGAAGCCGCCUGGUAGGAAGGGUAGUGACGGUACUGGUAGAAUAAGCACCGGCUAACUACGUG